rnacentral:lncRNA from 1 species
UCUGUACUGCAUUCCUUAUAUGCAAUCAAAUUUGAUUGGGCGGCGACACCCAUCAAAUUUUGGCGCCGUUGCUGGGGACCAACGGUUCGGUUUUAGGUCUUUGUUUUGUUAGUGUGUGUUGUCUUGUCUUGUGUUGUGAGUGUGAUGUUCUGUUUUGUGUGUUUGUCAUUGUGUGUUGCAUUUAGGUAGCUUUAGUUGCAUAUUUUCAUUGCAUUCUUCUUUUCCUCCUUCUUUCGCAUGUCUACCUGUUUAGGCUAUGUGGAUACUGUUUCUUCUACCUGUGCCUCUGAUAGUGCUUCUCAUAAAUAUUCUGUUGAUUUCUGUCUUGAGAACAAUAUGACUCAUCCUCCCGUUCUUGAGAGCGCUCUUUG